rnacentral:rRNA from 1 species
GACGAACGCUGGCGGCGUGCCUAAUACAUGCAAGUGGGACGCAAGGAAACACACUGUGCUUGCACACCGUGUUUUCUUGAGUCGCGAACGGGUGAGUAACGCGUAGGUAACCUGCCUAUUAGCGGGGGAUAACUAUUGGAAACGAUAGCUAAUACCGCAUAAUAUUAAUUAUUGCAUGAUAAUUGAUUGAAAGAUGCAAGCGCAUCACUAGUAGAUGGACCUGCGUUGUAUUAGCUAGUUGGUAAGGUAAGAGCUUACCAAGGCGACGAUACAUAGCCGACCUGAGAGGGUGAUCGGCCACACUGGGACUGAGACACGGCCCAGACUCCUACGGGAGGCAGCAGUAGGGAAUCUUCGGCAAUGGACGAAAGUCUGACCGAGCAACGCCGCGUGAGUGAAGAAGGUUUUCGGAUCGUAAAGCUCUGUUGUAAGUCAAGAACGUGUGUGAGAGUGGAAAGUUCACACAGUGACGGUAGCUUACCAGAAAGGGACGGCUAACUAUGU